rnacentral:rRNA from 1 species
GACGUAGGGUGCGAGCGUUGUCCGGAUUUAUUGGGCGUAAAGAGCGUGUAGGCGGCUAGGUAGGUCCGUUGUGAAAACUCGAGGCUCAACCUCGAGACGUCGAUGGAAACCAUCUAGCUAGAGUCCGGAAGAGGAGAGUGGAAUUCCUGGUGUAGCGGUGAAAUGCGCAGAUAUCAGGAAGAACACCCGUGGCGAAGGCGGCUCUCUGGUACGUGACUGACGCUGAGACGCGAAAGCGUGGGGAGCGAACAGG